rnacentral:rRNA from 1 species
GAUGAACGCUGGCGGCGUGCUUAACACAUGCAAGUCGAACGGUGAACGAGGGAGCUUGCUCCCUCCGGAUCAGUGGCGAACGGGUGAGUAACACGUGAGCAAUCUGCCCUGGACUCUGGGAUAAGCGUUGGAAACGACGUCUAAUACCGGAUACGAGGCGUGGGGGCAUCCCCAACGCCUGGAAAGAACUUCGGUCCAGGAUGAGCCCGCGGCCUAUCAGCUAGUUGGGGAGGUAACGGCUCACCAAGGGGACGACGGGUAGCCGGCCUGAGAGGGUGACCGGCCACACUGGGACUGAGACACGGCCCAGACUCCUACGGGAGGCAGCAGUGGGGAAUAUUGCACAAUGGGCGCAAGCCUGAUGCAGCAACGCCGCGUGAGGGACGACGGCCUUCGGGUUGUAAACCUCUUUUAGCAGGGAAGAAGCGAAAGUGACGGUACCUGCAGAAAAAGCACCGGCUAACUACGUGCCAGCAGCCGCCGUAAGAC